rnacentral:rRNA from 1 species
CGGGGGGUGCGAGCGUUAAUCGGAAUUACUGGGCGUAAAGGGUGCGUAGGCGGUUUAAUAAGUUAUGGGUGAAAUACCUGGGCUCAACCUGGGAUUGGCUUGUGAUACUGUUAGACUUGAGUAUAGGAGAGGGCAGUGGAAUUUCCGGUGUAGCGGUGAAAUGCGUAGAUAUCGGAAGGAACACCGGUGGCGAAGGCGGCUGCCUGGCCUGAUACUGACGCUGAGGCACGAAAGCGUGGGUAGCGAACAGGAUUAGAUACCCUGGUAGUCCACGCUGUAAAUGGUGUCAACUAGCUGUUGGCCCUAUAGAAGGGGUAAGUAGCGCAGCAAACGCGAUAAGUUGACCGCCUGGGGAGUACGGUCGCAAGAUUA